rnacentral:rRNA from 1 species
UACGUAGGGUGCAAGCGUUGCCCGGAUUUAUUGGGCGUAAAGGGCGCGUAGGCGGCUCUGCACGUCCGUUGUGAAAUCGCCCGGCUCAACUGGGCGGGGUCAGCGGAUACGGCAGAGCUUGAGCAAGCUAGGGGGCAAUGGAAUUCCCGGUGUAGUGGUGGAAUGCGUAGAUAUCGGGAGGAACACCAGUGGCGAAGGCGAGUCUCUGGACAGCAACUGACGCUGAGGCACGAAGGCCAGGGGAGCAAACGGGG